rnacentral:rRNA from 1 species
UGAGGAAUAUUGCACAAUGGGCGCAAGCCUGAUGCAGCGACGCCGCGUGGGUGAAGAAGGUUUUCGGAUCGUAAAACCCUUUUCUGUGUGACGAGCAAGGACGGUAGCACAGGAAUAAGUCUCGGCUAACUACGUGCCAGCAGCCGCGGUAAAACGUAGGAGACAAACGUUAUCCGGAGUUACUGGGCGUAAAGGGCGUGCAGGCGGCAGUCUAAGUCUGGCGUGAAAGAUCCCGGCUUAACCGGGGAAGGUCGUCGGAUACUGGGCAGCUAGAGGGCGGUAGAGGCGUGUGGAAUUCCGGGUGUAGUGGUGAAAUGCGUAGAGAUCCGGAGGAACACCAGUGGCGAAGGCGACACGCUGGGCCGCACCUGACGCUAAGACGCGACAGCAUGGGGAGCAAACAGGAUUAGAUACCCCAGUAGUCCCUGAGCGGGCUGGCAAGGCGCAU